CCCUUAGAUGUUCUGGGCCGCACGCGCGCUACACUGACGAAGUCAGCGAGCAUGUCCUACGCCGACAGGUGCGGGGAAUCUUGUCAAACUUCGUCGUGAUGGGGAUUGAUUAUUGAAAUUCUUGAUCAUCAACGAGGAAUUCCUAGUAAGCGCAAGUCAGCAGCUUGCGUUGAUUACGUACCUGCCCUUUGUACACACCGCCCGUCGCUACUACCGAUUGAAUGGUUUAGUGAGAUCUUCGGAUUGGCGCCACUGCGGCUCAGCAAUGGGCUCGGUGGAUGCCGAAAAGUUGAUCAAACUUGAUCAUUUAGAGGAAGUAAAAGUCGUAACA
rnacentral:rRNA from 1 species